rnacentral:misc_RNA from 1 species
AAUACACUUAUGCACUCAAUACUCAAAAGCAUAUCAAAACCUCGAGCAAAAAUAAAACCAUCAAGCAUUGAACAGCCAAACCUCAAUCAAAUUCCAAGCAAUAAAAUGGCGAGCACACCAAAUCAUAUACCAAAAUUUAAAACACAAGAUAGCUAAACUAAUUAAUCCUUGGACCCAGAUAAUUAUAUUAAGCAACUAAACCAACAAAAUCCAUCUAUUAAUAUCCAUUAUCCAACAAAAAGAUAAAAUCCAAUACUCAUCUAUUGAAAAUUACGCAAAAAGUACCAAACUUUAAAUUACCAAAUCCAUUAUAACAAACCAAAAACGCAUUAUAAAAAAUCUAAUCGCCACCAGCCUUGUUGUAAACAUAAGUCAAGCCACACUUGCCGCAGUAGUGCCUAUCAAAAUGGUUGGCCAUGAAAGUCCCAGCUCCA